AUUGAACGCUGGCGGCAUGCCUUACACAUGCAAGUCGAACGGCAGCACGGGUGCUUGCACCUGGUGGCGGGUGGCGAACGGGUGAGUAAUACAUCGGAACGUACCUUAUCGUGGGGGAUAACGCAGCGAAAGCUGUGCUAAUACCGCAUACGCCCUGAGGGGGAAAGCGGGGGAUCGCAAGACCUCGCGCGAUUAGAGCGGCCGAUGCCUGAUUAGCUAGUUGGUGGGGUAAAAGCCCACCAAGGCGACGAUCAGUAGCUGGUCUGAGAGGACGAUCAGCCACACUGGGACUGAGACACGGCCCAGACUCCUACGGGAGGCAGCAGUGGGGAAUUUUGGACAAUGGGGGCAACCCUAAUCCAGCAAUGCCGCGUGAGUGAAGAAGGCCUUCGGGUUGUAAAGCUCUUUUGUCAGGGAAGAAACACCGGCUCUAACACAGUCCGGGAAUGACGGUACCUGAAGAAUAAGCACCGGCUAACUACGUGCCAGCAGCCGCCGUAA
rnacentral:rRNA from 1 species